UUCAAAGCAAAAAGUCACUGUCCGAUAUUCUGCUGGAGGGGAAUACCCAAAGGUGUGAAUGCCUGGAGGUGGGGCUAUUUGGGAGCCAUUUUAGGAGGACGCCUACCACAGCCGUUACAGGAAACGUCAAAUUGUGGAGAAACUGAGGCACAAAAGGCAAAGCUAGCCGUUCAACAUCAGCAGUCAGUUGGUGGUGAAGCUUGGGGAACUCGGGCCAACCGGUCCUGGGUCUGCGUGAUUAACCAAAAGCAUGUGGGGCUCUCUGGAUGGACAGGUGCGGUGCAUUUUCAAAACAGCAUAGGUCCCCUGCAAAGAAAUCGGAAUGCACAGACAAGCAAAGCUGCAUUAACAUUUGCAGCCUCUUACCCUGGCCGAUGGUUACUGUUAUCAGAUCACAUCCUUCCAGAUCUUCUCCUGUGUACAUAACAUUACGAAACCGAAAGGGAGGGAUGCUGCUGUGCCUGCUCUUUUGAGAGCAGCUAUUUUCUGUGAAAGGAAUAUAUAUGCUGUGAGCAUUCAUUCACGCCGAUAACUUUGCCACCGCAGCGAAGGAACUUCAGAACAGUGUACUCAUCACAGAACCUCAGGGAACAUAGUUCUGUGGUCCGAAUGCCCCUAUCUGGAUUCUAACAUUCCAAAUUUAUCUCACAUUUAUUCCAUCAUCAUUAUUUGUAGAAAAU